GAUGAACGCUGGCGGCGAGCCUAAUACAUGCAAGUCGAGCGAACAGACGAGGAGCUUGCUCCUCUGACGUUAGCGGCGGACGGGUGAGUAACACGUGGAUAACCUACCUAUAAGACUGGGAUAACUUCGGGAAACCGGAGCUAAUACCGGAUAAUAUAUUGAACCGCAUGGUUCAAUAGUGAAAGACGGUUUUGCUGUCACUUAUAGAUGGAUCCGCGCCGCAUUAGCUAGUUGGUAAGGUAACGGCUUACCAAGGCGACGAUGCGUAGCCGACCUGAGAGGGUGAUGGCCACACUGGAACUGAGACACGGUCCAGACUCCUACGGGAGGCAGCAGUAGGGAAUCUUCCGCAAUGGGCGAAAGCCUGACGGAGCAACGCCGCGUGAGUGAUGAAGGUCUUCGGAUCGUAAAACUCUGUUAUUAGGGAAGAACAAAUGUGUAAGUAACUAUGCACGUCUUGACGGUACCUAAUCAGAAAGCCACGGCUAACUACGUG
rnacentral:rRNA from 1 species